rnacentral:rRNA from 1 species
GUAGGUGGCAAGCGUUGUCCGGAAUUAUUGGGCGCAAAGCGCGCGCAGGCGGUUUUUAAGUCUGAUGUGAAAGCCCACGGCUCAACCGUGGAGGGUCAUUGGAAACUGGAGAACUUGAGUACAGAAGAGGAAAGCGGAAUUCCACGUGUAGCGGUGAAAUGCGUAGAGAUGUGGAGGAACACCAGUGGCGAAGGCGGCUUUCUGGUCUGUAACUGACGCUGAGGCGCGAAAGCGUGGGGAGCAAACAGGGAUUAGAUACCCUGGUAGUCCACGCCGUAAACGAUGAGUGCUAAGUGUUAGGGGGUUUCCGCCCCCUUAGUGCUGCAGCUAACGCAUUAAGCACUCCGCCUGGGGAGUACGGCCGCAAGGCUG